AAAUAGUCUUUUACCCUUAAGAGGGUGCCAUGAGAGGAUUGAUUCUAGUCUCGAGAGUUAUAUUCAUGAGAGUAUUUGCCUUACGUAUUAGGCGGUGGCGAGUUCGAGAUUUAAGAGUGGGGAUAUCUGCUUUCUGCUUGCCAGGUGAGUCUUCUCACUAUACUUUACCUUGAGUAGGUAACCAGAGUUAUGUGACAGAGUAUUUGUAUGCUAUGUAUGUUAUGUGUUGUACUGCAUUAUUUCUAUGUGAUUUAUGCUGUGCAUGUUUGCAGAGUUGGAACCGAAGGGUUCCUAGAGUUAGAACCGGAAGGUUCACAGAGUUAGAACCUGAGGGUUCACAGAGUUUGGGUGCACGGACCCAUAGAGUUAUAGCCUCGAGUGGCUUAUAUGUGUUAUGUGUGUGGUAUUUUGGGGAACUCACUAAGCUUCGUGCUUACAGUGUUUUGUGUUAUGUUGUUUUCAGGUUUCUUUCAGUAUCACGGGACGGCACCGGCUUGAUUGUNACUCGGCGAGUAGGGUCAGUCAGGGGUUGACUUUGACUGAGGACUUUGAUUUUGACCAAGGGUUGACCGUUGACUUUUAGGGUUUGGUCAGCGAUGUGGCCUUUGGGCCAAGAGAGGGGUAAAAUAGUCUUUUACCCUUAAGAGGGUGCAUUGAGAGGAUUGAUUCUAGUCUCGAGAGUUAUAGUCAUGAGAGUUUUGCCUUACGUGUUAGGCGGUGGCGAGUUCGAGAUUUAAGUGUGGAGAUAUCUGCUUUCUGCUUGCCAGGUGAGUCUUCUCACUAUACUUUACCUUGAGUAGGUAACCAGAGUUAUGUGACAGAGUAUUUGUAUGCUAUGUAUGUUAUGUGUUGUACUGCAUUAUUUCUAUGUGAUUUAUGCUGUGCAUGUUUGCAGAGUUGGAACC
rnacentral:lncRNA from 1 species